rnacentral:rRNA from 1 species
UACGAAGGGGGCUAGCGUUGCUCGGAAUGACUGGGCGUAAAGGGCGCGUAGGCGGCUUGCACCGUCAGAUGUGAAAUUCCUGGGCUUAACCUGGGAACUGCAUCCGAUACUGGAUGGCUUGAAUCCGGGAGAGGGAUGCAGAAUUCCAGGUGUAGCGGUGAAAUGCGUAGAUAUCUGGAGGAAUACCGGUGGCGAAGGCGGCAUCCUGGACCGGCAUUGACGCUGAUGAGCGAAAGCUAGGGGAGCAAACGGG